rnacentral:rRNA from 1 species
CUACAAGGGUUUCUAAUCCUGUUUGCUCCCCACGCUUUCGCACCUCAGCGUCAGUAUCGGGCCAGUGAGCCGCCUUCGCCACUGGUGUUCUUGCGAAUAUCUACGAAUUUCACCUCUACACUCGCAGUUCCACUCACCUCUCCCGAACUCGAGAUCUCCAGUAUCAAGGGCAGUUCUGGAGUUGAGCUCCAGGAUUUCACCCCUGACUUAAAGAUCCGCCUACGUGCGCUUUACGCCCAGUGAUUCCGAGCAACGCUAGCCCCCUUCGUAUUACCGCGGCUGCUGGCAC